rnacentral:misc_RNA from 1 species
CAUUGAGGUGUAGGUGGAUGACGAGAAAGACAAGGGUUCGCCGUGGUCUACAUGGUGCAUCAUUAGAGGAUACACAGGUAUGCUCUGUGGCACAGCUGAAGAUAUAUUCAUCUUUGGUGAUGAUUCCACCAGCUUAUCCUUCCUAUUAUUGACCUUCUUUCCCAAAUUAUAUUCCUCUGCUUUCCUUCGCUUUCUCGUCAUCCACCUACACCUCAAUGCAACAUCACGUACAGUUUUAUCAGGCAAGGUGGCUGCAAUCUUUAUGUAUCUCAUAAUACUUGGCUCAUCAGCAAAUUUGUUAAGGCCUUCCUCCAAUUUGUAUUGUUCGUCAACAGACCACUCAACAGCCAAGCCAGUAUCAUGCUUGAGGCCAGGAGCAGAAUCAAGAAGAAGAGAAGAAGCAGAAGAAUUGACAGCUGGAACAUGAAGAAUUCCGGGACUGUUAUUAAUCAUGCUGGAAUUCCCUGGCAACAUCACAGUACUAGUACUAGUAUUUAUCCCAAAGUAACUCCCUAUCGGAAUCAUCUCAGAUGAAUUAUUUAUUGCAUCAGAAUGAAAGGAUAUCGCGUGCCGAUUGAGCGCAGAACCCAAAGCUUCUUCCCGACGAAACCCAGUAUUGGACUCCGCUGCCAUUUUCUCUACCAAAAUUCUCUAGCACACCAUAAUCUCACACAACUCACAUCUCAACACUUCACUUGCUCUUUUUAGGGCCACUUUCCGAUGGAGCCCUAAUUGGCCAAGUUGGGGUGAUUUGCCUUUGGCUUUGCCUUUUUCUCUCACUCCCUACUUCUACUUGCGCCUGCUGCCAACACACACAGUGCCACUCACUACUCUAAGCCUUUACUUUUUUUUUUUUUUCUUUUUCUGCAACGG